AUUGAACGCUGGCGGCAUGCCUUACACAUGCAAGUCGAACGGAAAGGCCCGCUUGCGGGUACUCGAGUGGCGAACGGGUGAGUAACACGUGGGCAACCUGCCCUCAGCUCUGGGAUAACUCCGGGAAACCGGUGCUAAUACUGGAGGACUUCGCAUCGCAUGGUGUGGGGUGGAAAGUUUUUCGGCUGAGGAUGGGCCCGCGGCCUAUCAGCUUGUUGGUGGGGUAAUGGCCUACCAAGGCGACGACGGGUAGCCGGCCUGAGAGGGCGACCGGCCACACUGGGACCGAGACACGGCCCAGACUCCUACGGGAGGCAGCAGUGGGGAAUAUUGCGCAAUGGGCGAAAGCCUGACGCAGCGACGCCGCGUGAGGGAUGACGGCCUUCGGGUUGUAAACCUCUUUCAGCUCUGACGAAGCGAAAGUGACGGUAGGAGCAGAAGAAGCACCGGCCAACUACGUGCCAGCCGCCGCGGUAAUAC
rnacentral:rRNA from 1 species